rnacentral:rRNA from 1 species
ACUCCUACRGGAGGSAGCAGUGAGGAAUUUUGGGCAAUGGGCGAAAGCCKGACCCAGCGACGCCGCGUGGGUGAUGAAGGCCUUCGGGUCGUAAAACCCUGUGAGAUGGGAAGAARCCGUUGCGUGCCAAUACCACSUCRCGGUGACRGUACCAUCAGAGGAAGCCCCGGCUAACUACGUGCCAGCAGCCGCGGUAAAACGUAGGGGGCURGCGUUGUUCGGAAUUACUGCGCGUAAAGCGCGKGUAGGCGGCUUGGAUAGUCSGAAGKGAAAGCCCCMGGCUCAACUUGGGAAUUGCUUUCGAAACUGCCAGGSUUGAKUGCGGGARGGGAGRGCGGAAUUCCAGGUGUAKCGGUGAAAUGCGUARAUAUCUGGAGGAACASCGGUGGSGAAGGCGGCUCUCUGGACCGUAACUGACGCUGAGACGCGAAAGCGUGGGUAGCAAACAGGGUUAGAUACCCUGGUAGUCCACGCCCUAAACGAUGGAUACUUGCGUGGGAAGUUAAAAUCUUUCCGUGCCGGAGCUAACGCAUUAAGUAUCCCGCCUGGGGAGUACGGUCGCAAGGCUGAAACUCARAUGAAUUGACGG